UACAGAGGGGGCAAGCGUUAUUCGGAAUUAUUGGGCGUAAAGGGCGCGUAGGCGGCCUGGCAAGUGGAAGGCGAAAUCCCUCGGCUUAACCGAGGAACUGCCCUCCAAACUGCUUGGCUUGAGUCCGGGAGAGGUGAGUGGAAUUCCCAGUGUAGCGGUGAAAUGCGUAGAUAUUGGGAGGAACACCAGUGGCGAAGGCGGCUCACUGGACCGGAACUGACGCUGAGGUGCGAAAGCGUGGGGAGCAAACAGG
rnacentral:rRNA from 1 species